rnacentral:rRNA from 1 species
AGAGUUUGAUCAUGGCUCAGGAUGAACGCUGGCGGCGUGCUUAACACAUGCAAGUCGAGCGAAGCGCCCGGAAGUUUUCGGACGGAUGGGUGACUGAGCGGCGGACGGGUGAGUAACGCGUGGGUAACCUGCCUCAUACAGGGGGAUAACAGUUAGAAAUGACUGCUAAUACCGCAUAAGCGCACAGGACUGCAUGGUCUGGUGUGAAAAACUCCGGUGGUAUGGGAUGGACCCGCGUUGGAUUAGGCAGUUGGCGGGGUAACGGCCCACCAAACCGACGAUCCAUAGCCGGCCUGAGAGGGUGAACGGCCACAUUGGGACUGAGACACGGCCCAAACUCCUACGGGAGGCAGCAGUGGGGAAUAUUGCACAAUGGGGGAAACCCUGAUGCAGCGACGCCGCGUGAGUGAAGAAGUUAUUCGUAAUGUAAAGCUCUAUCAGCAGGGAAGAAAAUGACGGUACCUGACUAAGAAGCCCCGGCUAACUACGUGCCAGCAGCCGCGGUAAUACGUAGGGGGCAAGCGUUAUCCGGAUUUACUGGGUGUAAAGGGAGCGUAGACGGCUUUGCAAGUCUGAUGUGAAAGGCAGGGGCUCAACCCCUGGACUGCAUUGGAAACUGCAGAGCUCGAGUGCCGGAGGGGUAAGCGGAAUUCCUAGUGUAGCGGUGAAAUGCGUAGAUAUUAGGAGGAACACCAGUGGCGAAGGCGGCUUACUGGACGGUAACUGACGUUGAGGCUCGAAAGCGUGGGGAGCAAACAGGAUUAGAUACCCUGGUAGUCCACGCCGUAAACGAUGACUACUAGGUGUCGGGGGC